ensembl:lncRNA
AGGAUGAAAGAGGAGCCUGGCGUGCAGGACUGGUGUCUGGCUGAGGGGUGGAGAAGGAUCUGUGAUUCCCAAGCUGGUAGUGUGGGUCCACAGCUGGAAAACCAUGUAAACUGCUUUCAAGAACUAGAGUUUGGUCAAGCACAAUACAGCAAAGUUCUAACAUCUAACCCAGAGCCUGGCACGCACAAGAUGCUCAGCCGCUGUUUGUGGAGUGAAUAAACAAGCCCGGCACUGGAUGCUUGACGCUGCCUCAAUGCUUGGGGCCCUGGGUGUGGACGGAGUGCUGACCGCAGCCCGGCAUCUUCAAGGGUUGCAUGUGGCACCUUGGCUGUCUCAUUUAUAAUCCAUGAGACAGUCAUUGUAUUCCAGAUUGCUCUUCACUGUCAUUUUAGCCUUUAGCUGCUUACUGAAAUGAGCUAAUUAAAGCUGAAUUAUUUUAAUUGCUAAUCAUCAAGAAAAAAGGUUUUUUUUUUGAAUGGAAAUGGCAAACUGUGUGUGUUAUCCUACCAUUAAAAGAAGCCAGAAUGUUCUUGUUUCGAAA